GUAAAAUUGCAGAGGACAGUUUGCAGUUAUCACUAGGAUCAAAAUGUAAGUGUAAACUACAAAGAAACUCGUUCGUAAAAGCACGGAAGACAGUUCUGCAGAAUCAAACGUAAACGUAAACUGUAAUGUACGAAAAUACGAAUUUACGUCUGAAUGCAGAUUCGGAAGAACAGCACUUAGAACUUGUUCGUGAAAGCGCAGAGAGCAGUAGUAAUGAAGGAGGUUUGCAGUAAUGAUAAAGUGCUAAAAAAUAAACGCAAACCAGAGAUUUAGAGUGGUUCGGUCAGCCUUGACCUACUCCACUUUUGGCUUCCUCCACCGACGAGGUCGCCGACGUCAACUAGGGGCCUUCCUUCAAUAGGCGAAGGCCAAACUUCCCUUUUACAGUUUCUCUCCUUUUGACAGGCUCAGGAGACAACCUUUACAGACCUUUCUCUCCUCACUUUACAGCUGAAAACUUGAAGAACAGAAGGAGGAGACUUAAAGGCUUUACAACACUUUUGAGCUCUUAGAAUCACAGAAAAGAUCAAGAUUUCGGUGUAGGUCUGUAUCUUUUCAGUGCUGAAUGGGUGGGGAAUUUAUAGGCCCCAACCCAAUUCAAAUUUGGAGCUCAAAACAAUCAAAUCCCGGAAUUCUAGGAUCAGGCGGUUGCACCUCUUGACUGGAGAGGUUGCACCGCCUGGCAGAGCUCGAAGACCGAGCUCAGGCGGUGCCACCUCUCUGCCAGGGAGGUUGCACCGCCCAGUCUUGCUCGAAGACUGAGCUCAGGCGGUGCCACCUCUCUACUAGGGAGGUUGCACCGCCCAGUCUUGCUCGAAGACUGAGCUCAGGCGGUGCCACCUCCCGGCUGGGGAGGUUGCACCGCCCAGUCUCGCUGGAAGGCCUAGCCCAGGCGGUUCCACCUCUUGGCCUGGGCGGUUGCACCUCCUGGUGCAAUCAGGGUCCGAAUGGUUCAUUCCAUUCGGCCCAAUUUCAGUCUUUCAGGGGCCCAAUUGCCCCAAGAUUAAGCCAAUGGGAUCACCUCCCAUUUUCCAACUUAAUCAACGUGCUAACUACGAUUAAAUCUAAGACAACUUCUGCAGCUUUGCUUCGGUGCGUCAAUCGCUCCUUCCGGCGAGUUUCCGGUGAACUUCCGUCGAUCAUCCGAUGAACCCUCGGUGAUGCUCCUGCGGACUUCCGGCAAACUCCUGGACUUUGCGACGAUCCAUUUGGCAAGUUCCGACGAGCUUCGCUUGGCAAGCUUCUGGACUUCUCGGAUCUGUUCUCGCAGAACCUCCGACGACCGUCCGAACUUCCGUCGAACUCUCGAACUCCCAACGUGAUCAUGAACUUGACUCCGGCGCAACUCCUACUGCUUGUCUAUCUUUCAUCGUAGUUAAUCCUGC
rnacentral:lncRNA from 1 species